GCUGGAUGCAGUGGCGCACACCUAUAGUCCCAGCUACUUGGGAGGCUGAGGCAGGAAGAUCAAUUCCAGGAGUUCUGGACUGUAGUGCUCUAUGCCGAUCAGGUAUCUGCACUAAGUUCAGCAUCAAUAUGGCGACCUCCCAGGAGCAGGGCACCACCAGGUUGCCUAAAGAGGGGUGAAUCGGCCCAGGUUGAAAAUGGAACAGGUCAAAAAUAGUGGAAUAUUUAAUCCACCAAUGCUAAUAGAAAUCUAUUUUAUUUCAUACAAAUAACGUUUCUAU
rnacentral:SRP_RNA from 1 species